CUGACAUUUUAUGUUCAGGUCUUUUUUUUUCCCUUCACUUCCCUUAAUCCUCUCUGAAGGCCAGGACGUGUGGGCAAAUUACCUCAGAAAAUGAGCAGAACCAAAACCCUGUGAUGGCUGCUCAUGUGGGGAGGAGGGCCUUUUCAAUGCCAGUGUUUUUUCCAUGUGCCUGAGACAUGAAUGCCAACCUGAGCCCAAUUCAGCCAGGUUCCCCCAUUGCUCUCUGAAGAAGCCUAAGCUAAAUGCAUGCAGGAAAGGAUGCUGUUGUUUUAAUGCCGGCUUCCCCUCUUACAGCCUCCUCUCUUCUAUGCACUGUCAUAAAGACAACAGCAUCUGACUCUGAGGGGUAGGUUAUUUAUGUGAACCUGUUUUCCAAAGGGAAUGCCUUCCUCCUUAUCUCCCUUGUCUUGUUUGCCAUGGAUAAAGAUCUUCUGAAGCUCCCUUUAGGACACAAAGAUCUCUCUGUAGGCAUAGAACAGGUGGGGCCAAAUUGCUGCUGCAUGGGCAUGAUAUUUGCUCAGUGCUGGGCUGGGUUUGGGGCACAGGGGUGGGCUGUAGGCUCAUUUCACCAGCAUGGCAAAGCUGGAAGUUCCUUGCAAGCAAACUAUUUAACUAUAAAUAUCUGAGUUAUAGAUAAGUUGGCUUUUGUGUGACCUGUUAGCCAAAUGCAAACCUGUCGUACCUUCUGCAGUGCUGGAGUUGCUCCCGUUGCUGUGGAUGUUCCUCACCAAGGGACCACUCUACAACAGGGAACAGCUGAGAGGACAUCUGCUGACUGGUUGUAGGUGUCCCUGUUCACUGCAGGGGAGUUGGAUCAGGCGGCCUCUAAAGGUCCCUUCCAAGUCUAAUGAUUCUAUGAUUCUAUGGAUAAAUACAGGUUAUACAUAUAAAUAAUAACGAAUAAUAAUCUUGCUCUGGUCCAGUGGCCAGUGAGCUGCUCAGCAAGGCAAAGCAUGGACACCCCUGGGAAGUAUGGUCACCCUCACUCCAGUUGGGAUCAGUUGUCCCAGUGGGUGACAAACAAUCCGAGGGGAUGCUGUGUGUAGCUUCCCACCCUCCAGCUGUGCUUACAGGAAGUUAGUCUGCAUGUGGUGGUGACCUGAAGGUGGUCCUCCAGAUGCACUGUAGGCACAGCUGGAGCACAGCUGGAAGAGCAGCUCAAGGCAGGCAGCAUGCGAGUCAUGAACUUGUCAUGUUUAAGUUGAUUUGAGUCCAUCCUUAAUGCUGCAGCAGAAGCACAGUCUUUUAUGCUAAUCUCUUGCUGGGAGGUGAGUUUUCUGUGUUGCCUUGAGAUAAUAGGGAAUAAUGCUUGUUUGGGGAAGAGAUGCCAUCACCUAAAUCUGUGGGUGCAGGGACACAGAGAGGAGGUCUGGGCUGUGGGCUUUCUUCUUGGCUAACCCUUCGCUUCACAAAACUGCAUAAUUAUGAAACUACAACAGCAGGCAGAAAUCCCUGACAGAGAGAAGAACAUACUGGGCAGCCACAUACUGUUGCAGUUAAUCCCUGUUUUCCUCUGGUGAGAAUCUGUGACUAUCAAAUAGGGCUGGAAAUUACCACAGGCCAUUUGUGGGGUUCGGGGGUGAUCAGUUCAGUGAGAACAGGCUCUGUUUUUCCAGCCAGGAUCAUCCUGUAAUGCCUGAUGAAGGGCUCAAUAGCAGCUCUAGCGCGGAUUAGCUGCAACCCCUGCACUAACCUGUGCUAUCCCGCCGAGAUGACACUGCAAUAAAUAAUCAAGCACAUCAGUGCAUAAACAUGCUGUCUGCGCUCUCCCCAGGUCUUAUUCCAGCGGAGCGAGCAUUGUGUAUUCCACACCAGGCUAAUCACGGGGAGGAAAUUUGCCGUGGACUGGAAUCUCAUCAAAGCAAACAACAGCAAUCUCAAUGAAUUGCGCCGACCCAAGUGUCUGCUUUAAUCACUCACUCAUGUGUUUCCUUUGGUAAAAUAAAAGAAAACACAACACAUGUAAACUUGAUUGCUCUUAAAUGAACACUUUAAUCCUGCUGGUGUGGCUGUUGCUUGUCUAAGGAAGGAAGGGGAUUGUCUUUACAGACAAUCUUCCAGGUGCUGAAGCGCGUGUUGCAUGGUAGAGGUAAGAAAGCAAGGCAGGGCAAUGAUGCUAGGAAAAAGUCUGCUGCAAAACAGCUUAAAAAAAAAAGUCACUGUAAGUGUCCCACUGUAAUUGGUAUAGACUGGAUGGGUGCUUUGGUAAUCAGGGAGCAAGUUCCUGGCGCCAUGCACUUGAUGGCCAGUAGCAAUUGCAGGCCUGGGCAGUGCUGAGGGGUCACCAACCUUUUUCCUUCUGAAAAGAAAAAUUAAGGCUGUUAUGGAGAGAGAUAUUUACAGACAACAAAAGCUGCUGCCCAAGGCAAUCUGGCAGAUAUGAGUUAGCUCCUCAGGCCAAAGGAAGGCUGCAUCAAAGAGUACUUCUUUGGGCUGGCUCAGCUUUGAAACCCCUCCUUCCACCAUUGGAGUCACUCAAAGGAUUUUUCCUGAAACAGAACUUAGAUUUUUGCCCCAUGGAGCUUUGCUUGUAUUACAUACACAUAUAGGGAUGAUGCACUUCAGCUCAUUUCAGAAAUAAAUGCAAAAAUAUGUUCUCCACCACUCUCCCCUCCCCCCAGAAGAAAUACACAGCAUCUCAAUGUAAAGCAAAAGUGAAAAGCAGGACACUUUCUUCCAGCAUUCUCUAACAGACCCACACAUUAUCUCAUUUGCAUGUUUUUGUCCCAUUUAACAAUCCCUCCUCACUGUCCAAAACUCUGAAAAUCACUGCGUUUGAUUCAGGAUUGUGUUAACAGAUCUACCCCAGGGCACUGGCACUGACUCCAGUGGUAUAAUAUCUGAUUUAUGUCCCGUGUGAGAUCAGAGCAAGGCUUGCCACCUCUAACCCUAAAUCAUUUUCUCACUUUCAUAUUGUAACAUCGAUCUGUCCAUUUCAAAGCAGUUCAGGCAUUCAUCUCGUUAUCAGAUUCUCACAGGGAGCACAAGGCUGCGUUCGGUCAAUGAUUUCUCAAUAAAUGCCCUACUUUUAAACAACAACAACAAAAAGGGCCUCAAAGCAGACAAACAAUAAGAGUUAAUCCUUAGAUUUGUCUACAAAACAAAGCUAAGUUAAUAAACUGUAAAACAGAGUGGAGCAUGUUGAUUUUAAUUAGUGACUUACCCUGGGAUAAAGCCCCUGAACUCAGCAGAGCUUGCUGCUAAAUAAGAUGCUAUUGAGUAAUAAAGAGGCCUGACUUCCCACAGUGAAGCUCUCAGUGCAGAAGAGCACUCACUUCCUUGGCCACUUAUACUGAAAAGCAUGGAAUACUUUAAGGGGAGAGCAAAUGACACUUUGGUCUGUCCAGAGGUGUACCUUCCACUUCUCACUAGCUUUGAAGUCCACAGCCCAGGAUUAAGCUAUCUGACCAUCCUAGAGACUCUCUUGAGGUAGAUGAAGAAGCUUGGUGCAGGUGCUGUGAGUCGUGUUUUAGGUGUCUGGCUGGACAGGGCAUGCAGACCCAGGGAUUCUUCUCUGACUUCAAGGGAAUGGAGAUUUCUCCUCUACCCUGGUGCUCAGCAUCACUUGAGCUCAUUGGCAUGCGAAUGUGGCACUCCCCUCUUGAACGUAUGGUGAUUGAUGGCAUCGGUGCCUAACACACUGCGGGUUUGAAGUGCUUGUAGCUUCUCUUUCCUCCUCACUUCUGGCUUUUCUUAUGUUUCUGAUCAUGAAUUAUUUAAUCUCAGACAUGCAUCACUGUUUUUGCUCUUUUUUAAUGUUAAUCUUUGCAGGUCUAGCAGUCUUCCUAACAGGUGGUGAAUUGGUUUGUUUAUUACCAAAGCUCUGAGAGAAGAUGAAAGUAUCGGGAAAGGUACUUGUGAGGGAAUGUAGUUUUAGUAGAGUGGGACAAGGUGACUGCAUUGACAGAAGUAAAUUAAGCAGUACCCAGGAACACUGGGAUAUGACAAUACGGUUGGUUAUCCUGUUAAAGAGUCAGAGGCUUCUCAGGCACACUUCUGGCCUGCUCCAAGUAAUGCUUGCCUCGCUGCACUGAUGCUGGGUUUGCCUGGGCUGACACAUUGUGUGGUUUGACUUGGACAUUUCAUACCUGGUUCAGCACAAAUGCAAAGAAGAGCAGACUCAAGCAGCUGGAGUGUGGGCAGUAUGCAAAGGAUGGGGUGUUGAUACUAAAAGGAGGUACUGCAGGAUCUUCAUGAAGACCUUGACCUCAUAGGCACUAAAUCCAAUCCAAAAAGAAGCACUUUCCAUUAUGUAACUCUCUUUACAAGAACAGUAGCAUAGUUGUGUCUCCAGGGAAGGAAUGCGUCAGACAGUAAUGGACUGUGUGAUCCAUGAACUGUAAGUGGUGCAACAAGCAGCGAAGAGUGAUGAGAAACAAAUCUAAGCUGCACUGAAAGGUUUUUGCACACUGAGGCACUGCUGCUUACCUCACCUUGGCCACACUAUGCUUAUCUUUCCUGAACUGGUGGUGCUACUCUACCUGUGUCACUCUUGAGAUAUGCAACUAACCUCAUGACAUCAUACAAGUAACUCCUAUGCAGCUGCUAGAGGUACAAAUCUAACCCUGGCCCACUGACACUAUGCAGAGCUCCCAGCACAGACAUGGCAGUGCACAGGCAUUUCAUCACAAUUUCUGUGCUACUCAUUGCUCACUGGGGAGAAAGUGGUACCUCUAAGAAAUUUUUCUGUGCGCAUAAGUAAGGUGUGGAGUGAAACUACAGUCAAAGCCAACCAACAGGAAGCAUUAAUCACAGGGAAGUAUGCACCAUUUAAGCCAUCUGACUAUGGCCAGCCAAGCAUUGACAUAAAUUUCCUAGCCCAUGUCCACCAACACGCACACUAUCAUAGAAUCAUAGAAUCAUUAAGGCUGUAAAGACCACCAAGAUCAUCUUGUCCAACCAUCAAUCCAUCACCACCAUAUCACUAAACCACAUCACUCAGAGCAACACCUCCCCUUUUCUUGAAAUCAUCCAGGGAUGGUGACUCCACACAUUGCCUCUGAGAUGGCCAAGGCAGUCACAGCAAGUCAUCCGAGCAGUUGGUGACCCUGCCCAUGGGAGAGGGGUUGAAACCAGAUGAUCUUUGUGGUCCUUUUCAACUUAGGCUGUUCUAUGAUUCUAUGAUUUAGCAAUACGUUCCCUUCUCAAGCAAAAAGCUUGAAUGAACUGAGAACCCUUGCCGGCACUGGCUUCUGCAUGGUAACAUGCACAGCACGACAGGCCAGGGCAUCGUGCAAAUCUUGGAACCAAGGGAGGUCCAGAAAUGCAGGGACUGUCAUUUCUACUGCCUUAGCGUGAAUGCAACAUAUUUCAUGCCACAUUGCAUUUUAACACACUGCGGAUGUAAUUUUAAAUAUCUGUGCCAUUCACUUAGCACUACAUGCUACAUAUGUGCUGGGAAGUACUUUAUUGUGCUGUCAGUUUGGAAAAUGUAGUGGUAACAACAGUGUUUCCAUUGAAUAGCACCUAGUGAAUAGGGUACAAUAUAUGAUCAAAGAGCCCUAGCAGUUCCUUUUCAUUAGUGGGAGUAAAUGCUUGGCACCGCAUCAAUCUUCUUCUCCCUCUCCUCUUCCUCUAGAAGUGCCAAGUCAUUUUAAAGGCACAUUAAAUUGCUAGAAGACUCCCAUACAAAGCCAGCCAGCCUGCUGCUCAUUUGGAUAAAGUUAAUUACAGCGAAGAUUAAAAUCUGCACUUCUUGAUUGGUGUUGUUGAGACUUGCAGAAUUGCAUUGUCCUCGGAGGACGACUUGCCAGCUCUGCCCCUUCCCCCUCUCAGCGCAUGUGCCUUUUCUUUGUUGUUCUUUGUAAUUGUCUUGUCGCCUCCUUGGCAGUGUGUCUGGCAAGGCUCUGGAGUCUGGGUCUGUUACACGUGUGUGUAACAAGGGAAAUUCUUCUGUAUCAAAACAGGCCCGGUAUAAGUGCCAUGUGUUGCUUCAAGUUUGCCUUCUUUCUGAUGGCACAGGGAGAUCUUCUGCUCCAGCACAACCCCUCUAAGGACUGGGUCAUCCAUCUGUGCUAGGAGAAGAGCUUGCAAACAUAGCGGGAUCAUCUCUAAGACACCGGGAAUUAAUACCUCUGGGUGUCUGAGUGGAGGGAGGCAGCAACAAGAACAUGCCACCAAGAAUGAAUGAUAGGUAAACCAGCAGUUCUCCUACAAAUAAAAUACUUGGUCUGUGUGGUGGCUUGGGACCGGUUUCAAGGUAACCUGGAUAUGAAGCCUCAUAUUCUGGGAAAGGUGAGAAAGUGGGCAUAAAUACCCCAAGAAACCCUUGGCAAGGGCUGGCUGUGUCAGGAGCAUGUGGGAUUUGGCAUCCUAUUUAUGAGGUGUAGGAUACUGGGUCAUAUGGAGAAAAUAUGGAUUGGUAUGCUGUCACACAUAUAACAUAUCCAAUGGUUUUACAUAUUCCAGCAAAGUUAAUUUAAAGUGUAUUCUUGACUUAGUACAGUCAUUGCCCAGAAGUGCCGUUUUCCUUAUUUAAGGAUAUUGCACUGAGCUUCCUUGCACAGAUUAGCUGCCUGCAAGCUCUUUAUCUUUGUAUUUCCUGCAGCCAUAUUUAAACUCUGACUCUUCUGAGGUGACUACAUGGCAUGAAAAACAAAUUCUGUGCCUUGUGUGUGUGAGUGGGGCUGUUCUAUGGCCAGUUGGUAAGAAGGGGGGAAGCAGAAAGCAGUACAAAAUGCGGAAUUGAUUUAAUGCUGCCUAAAGCCAUACUUGUUCUUUGAUGGAUAAGAGCACACCAGGGGAUACAGAGUAUUUAUUUGGCAUGUAUCUCCAGUCAGUAGAUAAAGGAAGAGCUGCUCAAAAUCACCAUGUUGUAGGCUUUCAGAGGGAAAAGCAAUGUCUAAAAUUGGAGGAAGGGAGCAUGGAAAGAUUUCUUUAAAGUAGACAUAAAGAAGCCAGCUUGAAAGAAAGUACUCUGACUAAAAGUGGUUUCUUCUGCCAACUAGUUUGCUUCUGUCUCCUUAAAAUUCCAUUCAGAGCCUUAAAAGUUAUCACUGAUAUUUUGCAGGGCAUCUCUGCUCCCCUUCACUCCCACCUUGGUUCUCCCUUGUGCAUUAGGACAUGUAAGCAUUAAACUGUCACAAAACAAAUGGCACCUUGAGCAGUUUCUAGGCCAUUGACUUGAGGUGCUACCUCCUGGCAUACUGACUUUAAGCUGUGUGUACUAGAGGGAGAAAACAGCAAGGCACUGAUGGAAAGUAUUGGAAUAGGAGGUGAUUGCUGACUCAGAAAUGAUUUUGCUCGUGCAGUCUUGGAGGUGACAGCCAGAAAGGCUACAUGGGCUUCACUGAAUGGUCACUCCAGGCUUGCUGUUUAGAAGAGUAAUUUUGCUAUGUACACCUCUCCCUGUUGUUGGCAUUUGGCUUUCAGCAUCUAAUCCUAGAGCAGUCAUCCACUUCACCAAACCCCUCUGAGCAGCUGUGCGUGUGUUUGGACCAGCAGUAUGGAUAACAUAGCUACCAUGCUCUGCUUUGCUUGAGGUGACCCAGGGUCUGCCUGCAGAGACAAGGCAGGCUCUCCCCCAUCUUCUUGUAGUAAAACCUGUGCAUGCUGUAGUGCCCCGGGCUUUUGGUAAGGCUGGUGUCGAGAGGGUCCUGGGUACCCUCCUUGGUUGGAUGACUGCAGCCAGAGGGUUCUAGUCAAUGGCUCUAUAUCCAGGUGGAGACUGGUGAUGUGUGAUGUACCCCAGGGGUCUGUGCUGGGACAGUUAUUCUUUAAAAUCAUUAUCAGUGGCACAGAUGAUGGGAUCAAGCGUACUCUCAGCAAGUUUGCAGACGGUAUCAAGCUGAGUGGUACAGUUGAUACAACAAAAAGAAGGGAUGCCAUCCACAGGGACCUGGACAGGCUUGAAAAGUGGGCCCAUGAGAACCUAGUGAGGUUCAACAAGGACAAGUGCAAACUGUUGCACUUGAGUUGGAACAAUCCCAGAUAUGUAUACAAACCGGAAGAAGAACUCAUUGAGUACAGCCUUGCUGAGAAGGACUUAGGGAUUCUGAUAGAUGAAAAACUUAAUAUGAGCCAGCAGUACGUGUUUGCAGCCCAGAAGGCCAAGAGAAUCGUGGGCUGCAUCAACAGAGGGGUGGCAGUAGGAAGAGGGAGGUGACUGUCCUUUUCUACUCUGCCCUCAUGAGGCACCAUGUUCAGUACUGCAUCCAGGCCUGGGGCCCCAAGUACAAGAAAGAUGUGGACCUGGAGUGGGUCCAGAGGAGGGCCAUGAAGAUGAUCAGAAGGCUGGAGCACCUUUCCUGUAGAAACAGGUUGAGGGACUUGGGCUUGUUCAGCCUGGAGAAGAGAAGGAUCCAGGGAGACCCCACUGCAGUCUUCCAGUUUAUAAGCAGGAGGGAAAUCAAAUUUUACAUGGGCAGACAAUGAUAGGCCGAGGAGGAAUGGCUUUAAACUAAAUGAGGGAAGAUUUUGAUUAGAUAUUUUGAGGCAGUUCAUUAUUCAGAGAGUAGUGAGGCACAAGCACGGGCUACCCACAGAAGCUGUGUACCCAUCCCUGGAGGCAUUCAAGGUCAGGUUGGAUGGGGCCCUGGGCUGCUUGAUCUGGUGGGUGGUAGCCCUGUCCGUGGCAGGGGUUUGGAACUGGCUGGGCUUUAAGGUCCCUUCUAAAGUAAGCCAUCCUACAGUUCUAUGGCACCUACUCUCUUCAUUUCAGGUAUGGCCUCAGGACUUUAAAAUCGCCCUGGGCUUAUCAAAUCAGAGAAUCAAAAGAAGCCUUUCCCUAGCCAACGAAGCUAGCUUGUAAAUGGAAACCUUUAACUUCACGCUUCCUCUGUCCCUAUACUUGAAGUGAAAAUGAUAACAAACUGUGAACAUCAAACCUUGUUUUGUGUAGUUCUUUGAUCCACAGAUGGAAAGUUAUAUAAAUGCAAAGCGCUAUCAUUAUUUAUAAAGAACACACAGUUUGCUGCUCCUUGCAAUCUGGCAAGGUAGAAAUAAACAGGAAGGCACAAAUUUAGCAUGAUGAUUUCACUGCUGGAUCUAAUAAGAUGCAAGGAGAGGCCAGGAAGACUUGAGUUUGUUUGAACACACGAUGCUGUGGUACCGGUAAUUGGCAAAUACAGGAAUAAUUAUGGAAAAAAAAGAAUGAAAAAAAGAAUAUGGUGUGUUAGAUUCAUAGGUGAUGAAAACUAACCUGACCCCUCUUGCUGCAGCAAUCUCUGGGAGUUUGCAUCAGUUUAAUUUCCCAUACUACCAGAAGUCUUACUUCCAAAGAAAUGUUUUAGAAGAUUUCUCUCCAGGUAUAAAUGAAUGCAGCUGAAGUAGCUCCUUUAAAUCAGUGCUGAUGAACAGUAUGCUGUGCAGUUGUGAUGGGUAUGCAUUUUAAACUGACAUCAGACUGAACGUUUCAGAAACUGAAAUCCAGAAGUUAUGGCUGAGAAGAACAGGUGGGAAUGAAACUUCUCCUCCUCUGCUGAAAAUGAAAGAGAAAAUUCCAUCAUUUCAGCCUGCCCUUAGGAAACAAUUCUCCUCAUCCUGUCUGGCUGGUGCUGUGGGAUUCCCCCCUUUCCCUGUUUUGACCUUUUUUUUUGUUGCCAGUUUGUAGAGUUAGAAGGGAAAUACAAGCUCUCCAGCCAUGUGGGUUUUGCAAAGAGAUGCUUCAGUCUUUCAUGGAUGCUUAUAUUCUCUGGAUUCUGUCUUGUGCUAUAGAGGAAAGAAGAAAGAAUGCUAUAUUGGAGAAGAGAUCUUUUGUCAAGUGAUUUUAUGCAUACUGUUUAGGGGAUAUAUUAUGUGGAAAAACCCUUAUUUGAUCUUCUGAUGCUGCUCCGUUCUCCUUCUGUGCCCCCCAUUCAGUGAAUAAUUACUAACAUUUUUCCUGAGUACAGGACUACCUGCUCUUAUUCCUCAGAAUCUGUUACACAUUGUGUACAUUGUACUGUAUGAAUGAUGUAUUUCCUGGGAAGUUGUUCUUGCUUCUAAUGGUGCUUGGAUCAAUGAAUAGAUCCAAUAAUUUUGGUUAAAAAUGAACUCUUGUCUGUUACGGUCUUCUGAACAGCCUCCCAAACCUUGUCUGUUCACAGACAUUGCUCUGGGUAACUUCUCCAUUUCCCUCAGACACGGUUGCUUGGGCUGGGAAAGGAUACUGCCAGCUUCAGCAGCCUAGAGAUGUCUUUGUAGACACUGCCAAAAGGUCAUCCCACAUAAAGAGCAGGAUAUCCUCACCUGUGACUGAUGGGUCACUGCUGUGGCUGAAGGCCAACUUGGGCUCCAUCCAUUAUACGUUGGCCACAGCAUUCAUAAGGCCUCAUAUCCAUCUCAGUGUUCUUGAAUGACCAUGAGCUUUUUCAACGGGAGGGAGAAAGGAGAGAAUAUAUCUCUAGACAGGCAAAAUCACGCAUCUCACUGCUAUUCCAUGGGAGCUGUGAUGUGACAGAAAACCAUGUACAAAGCAAGUAUUACAACCUCUCCUGCUGUUAUAUUUUUAUUUGCUGUUCAGCUGGACUGAAAUCUGGGAACAUGGUCAUGCAGAGGGCAGAGAUGUUACUCCCACACCCUGCUGGGCCUCAGCUCAUGAAGGACCACCUGUGAGAAGUGGUUUUUAGCAUGCAUUUGCCUGCUUGCUCUUGCCAACAGGCAGCAAGCUGAAAUGACAUAUAUGCAGUCUGAAUUGCUGUACAUUGCCAGUAAGCAGGCCCAGCAACAAAGAAUGGGUUGUAAAAAAAUGCAACACAUUUCCAUGUCUGUUGGCAUGCAUGAAGGUUAUGUAUGCAGAAGGAUAACUAAAUGCAUGGAACAGCUUUUGCAUUAUUGCUCUUAAACCUGGGAAAUCUGCUUGAUCGUAUGCUAAGGGCAGGUUCAUAGACUCACUGCAUCAGCUGUAGCACUUUGCACUGCAGGUAGUUAUCAGAGGAUGACACACUCUCCUCCUGAAACACAUUCUGGGCAAUUUUCCCCAGAGUCUUAGAAUGCAAGCAAGCCAUUUCUGCAGUGGGAUGAUAACUGGAAGGUUGCUGGUACUGGCACAGUCAGAAAAAGGAUGUAUUUUACUGCUGCUACAUUAUGUAGCUGCCUUAACCACACAGAACUGAAUCCCAGUUUUGGUGAAGUUCCCUUACUGGAAUUGCCCAUAGCAUCAGCUGAGAGGAGGAAUGGCCUUAUUCCACACCAUGAGGUCACAGACUCCUUAUUCAGAGAUGGUGUGGAUUAGCUGCAGUGUUUCCCUGCCCACACCUGGCAGGUAUCACAGCAACACAUCUGGGUAUCAGCCAGAACCAGUGGCUGCCUGAAGAUGUCUCUGGCUUUGUGGACAUCUCUGGUGGAGAUUUUCAGUCUGGGUCAUUCUCAGCCUGCUACUAUGUCAAACAGUGAUCCUGCUUCCCUACAAACUUUCCUCUCCAACUUUCAUGUUCUGCUUCAGUGGCUACAACUUUCAGAACUCUGUGGGUUAUCUGCUAAUAUCCUCACAGUCACUGCUGAGACAAAGCUAAACAGAUGUUCUUUUUUUCCCCCCCAAUUUUCCUCUCAGCUCUGAGUGUUUUCCUGCUGGAAAGCACCUCAGGGACAGAAGGAAUGUAACUUCCUGCUGCAGGAGCUGUAAGCUGCUGCUUCAAACCAGUCACGUAACUUCUUUCUCCCAGGCUACCCCGUGCUUCCAUCCUAAGAAGUCUCCUUGUAACAGCUGAGAAAAGCUGCCAUAGACAAAGCAUAGCUGCCUUGCUCACUGUGGGCACCACACUUUGGCACAGCUCUGGUGCCCAGCCCUGUCUUGUGCCAGUACCAGCCGGGGAGGCUGGAGGAGGAGAGGAUGAGCCUGCACAUGCGAGCAGUGACUCCUCUCAUUUGCAACAGCCAUGGCCAGACUGUGGAGGCAAAGUUCCUACAGCUUUUUGUCAUGUUGUAUUUCAUGGCCUGCUUACGUAUGAAUUUACUAUCUGUCACUGCCAAGGCUCCUUCCCUUCUACACUUCUCUGAUUUUUCAUCCCUCCUUUUGAAUGUCUGUUACAGAUCACUUUUUUUUUUUUUCCCUCUCCCUCCACAUUUCCCUUGCAUUUUUCAUCUGAGAUGGAAUGCGUUUUUUUCCCACUCCAGACUACAAUCUCUCCAGGUCUGAUAUUCUUCCUUCUCACUCCUUCGACUACUGGCAGCUGUGACUUCAUGACCAGAAAAAAAAGCAGAAACAUAAAUAAGCAAGGGAAAAUCCCCAGGAUGGCAGCAAGGCACAGCCAGAAUAAUGAAACUAAAAGGUUUGCCUUGCUGUAGUCUGAGCAGCACUAGCACAGUGCACAGGCUUGACUCCUGAGAUACCAUCACGGUCUGCUGCGGCUGUAAUUGUAAUGAUGUCUCUUUCUGUGGGGCUGGUCAGCCGUAGCUUGUCUGCUUAAGCUCUGUGAAAUGGUUUAUUUAUUUAUUUUCCAUAAAAUAAAUGUUCCUGGUUAAAGGCCAUUGUGUGCAGAGAUAUAAAGCUUACAAGGUCAGGCUGUGCAUUAAAAAAUUCGGAUGCAAAAAAAUUCAUAGAUCAUAGAAUCAUAGAAUGGCUUGGGCUGAAAGGGACAUUAAAGCCCAGACAGUUCCCACCUAUCUCUAUGGACAUGGCUACCCCUCACCAGCUCAUGCAGCCCAGAGCCCCACCAAUCUGCCCCUGAGCCUCCAGGGUUGAGGCACACACAGCUUCUCUGGGCAGCCUGUGCUGGUGCCUCGCCACCCUCUGAGUAAUGAAUUUCUUCCAAACAUCUAAUCAAAAUCUCCCCUCUUUUAGUUCGAAACCAUUCCACCUUGACCUAUCACUAUUUGCCUACGUAGAAAGUUGAUUUCUCUCUUGUUUAUAAGUACUGGAAGGCUGGAAUGAGGUAUCCCUGGAGCAUUCUCUUCUCCAGGCUGAACAAACACAGCUCCCUUAGCCUUUCUUAGGAGAGGUGCUCCAGCCUUCUUAUUAUCUUCGUGAUCUUGCUCUGAAUCCAGUCCAACUGCUCGGCAUCUUUCUUGUGUCAGGAGAUACUGCACUGUUGCUAGAAAGCUUAGUUUCCUGACUAAUGUGUCUGCUACUAAUGUUAUGACAGCUUUAGAAAUAAGAUGGCAUUUGCAAAUAUCCAUGUCUCUUAAUCCGAAAGCUUUAUGGAAGGCUGUAUCUCCAGCAAAUAUUCCCCCCAGGUUAUGGCUACAAAUGAUUGCUGAUUUGUGAGAGACACCCCUGAUAAAAAGCAGCAGGUAGAUGGGGCACUUUCAAAUCUUUCUCCCUGGCAAUUUGCAAGGAUUCAUUUUGUAGUCUGAAUGUUUGUUCCUGAGCCUACUGCUAAGCGCCAAAUCUGGCACUCCAGCUGCAUCCUGCUCACAGUCACAAACAUCCUAGUGGCUCCUGGGACAAGGUCUCCCAGCCAACCCAACAAGGAAUGUGCCUCCUGCACUGGAAGGUGGUACCGCCUGGAAGGUGACACCACCCUUGAGGUGGUGCCCUGGAGAGGGGACAAUCUGGCUGCUCCUGUGACACGGAUGUCUCUGAACCUAUGCUGUGGUUAACAGAGUGGUGAAACAAAACAUGUGCAGAGCCUGAAAAACAGUGCGAAAACAGGAAGGGCUGCUCUUCAGCUUUUACAGCAGCUGUCAUGUGUCGUACACAGGAUAGAGCUGCAUGGACAAGAAUCCUGUUGAGAUAAGCUGAAAUGGUUUAUCUUCUGACUGGUAUUCUCUUGCAGGGCUUUGAAUUCCUUAGCAGGCCCUCAUUGGCUUUAUAAAUGCACAGCCAUGCGCACAUACACAGAAUUGCACACUUGUAAAAUUUUGAGCUGUGUACAUUCACAUGUUGGCAGGCUGACUAAUCAGCUUGCUCAUGGAAGCUAGAAUUCUCUGACUGUGCUUCCAUGACACAGCAAA
ensembl:lncRNA